CACGUAGGGGACGAGCGUUGUCCGGAAUCAUUGGGCGUAAAGAGCGUGUAGGCGGCCCGAUAAGUCCGCUGUGAAAGUCCAGGGCUCAACCCUGGGAUGCCGGUGGAUACUGUCGGGCUCGAGUCCGAAAGAGGAUCGCGGAAUUCCCGGUGUAGAGGUGAAAUUCGUAGAUAUCGGGAGGAACACCAGUGGCGAAGGCGGCGAUCUGGGUCGAUACUGACGCUGAGGUGCGAAAGCGUGGGGAGCAAACAGG
rnacentral:rRNA from 1 species